ensembl:snoRNA SNORD36 Small nucleolar RNA SNORD36
UGGCAAUGAUGUCUGAAUUUCUUCACCUGAAUAGUCGUGUAGAUCAAAACAAACGAGCUUUUUAACCCUGAGCAGA